AGGGCACCACCAGGAGUGGAGCCUGCGGCUUAAUUUGACUCAACACGGGGAAACUUACCCGGCCUGGACACUGGAAGGAUUGACAGAUUGAGAGCUCUUUCUUGAUUCAGUGGGUGGUGGUGCAUGGCCGUUCUUAGUUGGUGGAGCGAUUUGUCUGGUUAAUUCCGAUAACGAACGAGACUCUAGCCUAUUAAAUAGGCUCUCGGCUUUUAAACGCCGGGAGGACUUCUUAGAGGGACAGGUGGCGGUUCAGCCGCACGAAAGAGAGCAAUAACAGGUCUGUGAUGCCCUUUGUUGUCCGGGGCCGCACGCGCGCUACACUGAAGGGAUCAGCGUGCUUUACGUUCCUGCUCCGACCGGAGUGGGGAACCCAGUGAACCUUCUUCGUGAUUGGGAUAGAAGAUUGUAAUUAUUCUUCUUGAACGAGGAAUUCCCAGUAAAUGCGAGUCAUAAGCUCGCGUUGAUUACGUCCCUGCCCUCUGUACACACCGCCCGUCGCUACUACCGAUUGGACGAUUU
rnacentral:rRNA from 1 species